CCUACGGGCGGCAGCAGUGGGGAAUAUUGCACAAUGGGCGCAAGCCUGAUGCAGCCAUGCCGCGUGUGUGAAGAAGGCCUUCGGGUUGUAAAGCACUUUCAGCGGGGAGGAAGGCGUUAAGGUUAAUAACCUUGGCGAUUGACGUUACCCGCAGAAGAAGCACGGGCUAACUCCGUGCCAGCAGCCGCGGUAAUACGGAGGGUGCAAGCGUUAAUCGGAAUUACUGGGCGUAAAGCGCACGCAGGCGGUCUGUCAAGUCGGAUGUGAAAUCCCCGGGCUCAACCUGGGAACUGCAUUCGAAACUGGCAGGCUAGAGUCUUGUAGAGGGGGGUAGAAUUCCAGGUGUAGCGGUGAAAUGCGUAGAGAUCUGGAGGAAUACCGGUGGCGAAGGCGGCCCCCUGGACAAAGACUGACGCUCAGGUGCGAAAGCGUGGAGAGCAAACAGGAUUAGAUACCCGUGUAGUC
rnacentral:rRNA from 1 species